AAAAACUGAAAGUAAAUUACUGCAAGUUGCACUGAUGUUUUGGGGGAAACCCGAGCCUUUAACACACAGUUAUCAAUUUAACAAGCAAAGCAACGAUGUCUGAGAUUUCGACCAUAUACAAGAUAUCUAUCAUCGCAUUUACAUUGUUUUGUAGCGCUUCCGGUUCUGGAUGUCCGGUUCUGGAGUGCUGGUUUGUCCAGGAGAAGCCCGGUCAUGGAGGAGGUUUCUCAGUACCAAUGAGUCAAGAGAAAUCUCUAAUGUUCAUCAGAACUGAAGCCUACAGUGAAGAGACCAUGUCUGAACUUCAUCCUCCUGCAGACAUCAGCCCGUCCAGGAUUUACUAUGUGACUGAUCCAGCUGGAACGUUCUGUAGUGCCGCUCUGAACCCACCCAAAGGCUCUGUGAACAAACCAAAGUGUGAGAUUAACCCUUUCAUGCCUCACGCCUCCAUGGUCAGAUGGACAUCUGCUCUCACUGACUCCGCCCAAAGUCCAGUCUACCUGCAAGCUGAUUGGUUCUCAGUGGCAGCACAAGGGCUUGACGAGCAGCUGACAUUGUCCAAUAUUAUGAGAGCGCCUUCAGCUUCUAAAGAGCCAAAAGUCAUUCUCAGUGUGUCCAGUAAAUCUCCUGUGGUGCGCUCUAGACUGGGAGAACCGGUUCUGUUAGACUGUGGGUUCUGGGUCGACCCGUCUUCUCCAGUUCACGGCUCUGGAUUCUCUGUCGAGUGGCGUUAUCAGUUUCGGGGUGAGGGACGGCUGGUCCUCGCUUACGAUGGCAAGAACGAUCGGUUUGCAGAGACGUCAGAGACUGGAGCAGAUAUUGACAUUACAGGCCUCUAUGAAACAGGAAAUGCAUCCCUGAUUCUGGAAGAAUCUCGAGUGAGACACUCAGGAACUUACAUCUGCACAGUGUAUCUUCCACACCUGCUGGCUCAGGUAGCCGUGGACCUGGAGAUAGUUGAGCCUCCAUCUCUCUCCAUCUACCCUUCUCCUCUUCCUCUGCUGGUUCCUGGGCAGGUGCUGCUGAUCCAGUGUGAGGCGUCUGGUUUUGCUCCUCACACUCUGGAUCUGGGCUGGGAGUUCACCGGGGCUGAUGGGAAGUCCCGCUCUCUGGGUCAGGGUGGUGUAACGGGUCACAGACAGGCGUCUGAUGGCACCUUCAGUCAGAGCAGCCGUCUGGAGCUGGACUCGAGUAAACUGGGGCUCGGCCGUGGUGGUGACAUCACCUGUGUAGCCAAACAUGACGGAGGAACACGGCGAGCCACUGCUACACUCAAUGUGAUUGGUGUCAGCGCUCCUUCUAUUGAGGACUCUAUGGCGAUGGUCGCUGUUGCUCUGCUGCUUUACAGCAUGAUAAAGUUUCUUUCCUGGACAUUCAGCUCUUCUGACUCCAGUGACUCUGAGUUAGAAGACAAGGUAAAAACAUUUUUGCAGUACUAUUACUCCCUAAUAAUUUCAUUGAUGUCAUCUAAAACGAGUCUGUCUGCUUAUUGUCUCUCUCUCUUCUGUAGAAAAAGACGUAAACCUGCUUCUGCUCCUGAAAUCUGAAUAGGGUGCAGUAACAUUGAAAAGGAACAUGUGAAUAAUCCUGUCAGAAUAGUUGAAUGUAUUUUAUUUCUAUCUGUACUAAAAAAUUCUGAACAGGAGAGUAUCAAUUGUAAAAAGACCCAUCUUCAGCUCAUAGAUUCACCCAAACACCCCUGUUUUUAGGUGAGAUUGGACUAUUCCAUAUUUUUCACAACAGUUCAAGACAAGGUUGCUAGAGAAGGCGGUGAAAGAAGAGGUGUAGCUGUGAUUGUAAAUAGUUGAAUUGUGCUACAUAAGAAAAAUAAGUUUAAGUUUCAGGAUUGUUUUGUCUGUAUGCUUAUGUUUCUUUGUAUAUGUUUAUACACAUUUGUGUUUAUGUGAUUUAUAACUUUAUUUUUGGCUUUGUUUUUUUAGUGAGUAAGAUUUUCCCCCUAGAGAAUGUAGUAUUUAAUAAUUAAGUAGUAGUAUGGGGACAUUUCUACAUGAUUCUUGUUUAAUGUAUCCAAUUAAAAUAUAAAUCUUACUACAUAAAGGGUGUUCAGCUUAGCUGUGUAUUUGAUGAAUUUGUGAGGAAUUCGAAGUCAAUGUUUACAUUUGAUUUAAGAAUAAAAUUUAAAUGAAAGUUUUUUCUAUUUUUAAUAAAAAUAUGAAAAAAAAUUCGCAAAAAAAUAAGCAACAGGGAAAAUUGCGAAAAUUCACAUCUCAUUUUUAAAGUGCUCUCCUGAUAAACUACACACUACACAUAUAAACUGAUAGGAUGGGAUAAGAUGUUCUGCUUAUUCUGAGUAAAAUGUACUGAAUGGUGUAGAAGAAAGAGUGACAUCAUUACUGUUACAAUAAAUUGUUUAAUUUGUCUACAGAACUGAUGCAUGAAAGAUAAACUAUACUAUCAUGAAAAAUUGUAGAAUCCAAAACAAAUAUAUUUUCACAGCAGAGUCAUAAUAAACAUUGCAAAAAACAGGAAAUUUACACAGAUCACAAUAAGUGAUGAAACCAUAAUGAUCAAAAAUAACAAGAACACAUAUACAAUAUUUAGUUAAUCCCUUAUAAAAUAAUAGCAAUACAUAAUAAGUAGGCAUCAUAAUUUCCCCUGUUUUAUCUUAUUAAAUGAUCUAAAAGGUGAAAAAGCAGAAUGAAUUUACAGAACAGAUUUCACACAGGAGGAAAAUCACAAUUUACAAAAAUCCUGACUUUAAAAUAUAUACACCUAUUUCCUAAACUGUUUAACCUGUUUAGAGUCGCAGGGAUGCAGGAGCCAAUCCCAGCAUCUCAGGCCGUAGGCAUGGAAACACUCUGGACAGAUGGCCAGUCCAUCACAGGGGUAAUAAAAUACAAUAUAAUAUGUAUGAACUUACAAUAUUUUUGCCCAAAUAGUAAUGCACCUACAGUUAAUGUGAGAUCAACUUUUGUAAGAUUAGUGUUAUGUGAAUUGAAAAGCCUUCUAUUGUAUGUUUACUUGUGCGUGUUAAUUCUGUAUAGAAUAUUAGGGCUGUUUAAUAUGGUUUUAACCUGUAUUUGACUGAAAAUGAUUUGUUUUUGCACUGUUUCAUCUUAUUUCUGGUGCCACAGUUUAGUCUUUUUAAGAAAGAAAAGACUUUUUAGCACUGGAUAAUAAGUAAAAAAAAAAAACAA